rnacentral:rRNA from 1 species
AGAGUUUGAUCCUGGCUCAAGAUGAACUCUGGCGGCGUGCCUAAUACAUGCAAGUCGAACGCAUCACUUCGGUGAUGAGUGGCGAACGGGUGAGUAAUACAUAAGUAACCUGGCCCAUACAGGGGGGAUAACUGCUGGAAACGGCAGCUAAGACCGCAUAUGUGUAGAGAUCGCAUGAACUCUAUAUGAAAAGUGCUACGGCACUGGUAAGGGAUGGACUUAUGGCGCAUUAGCUAGUUGGCAGGGUAAAGGCCUACCAAGGCGACGAUGCGUAGCCGACCUGAGAGGGUGACCGGCCACACUGGGACUGAGACACGGCCCAGACUCCUACGGGAGGCAGCAGUAGGGAAUUUUCGGCAAUGGGGGAAACCCUGACCGAGCAACGCCGCGUGAAGGAAGAAGUAAUUCGUUAUGUAAACUUCUGUCAUAGAGGAAGAACGGUGGAUAUAGGGAAUGAUAUCCAAGUGACGGUACUCUAUAAGAAAGCCACGGCUAACUACGUGCCAGCAGCCGCGGUAAUACGUAGGUGGCGAGCGUUAUCCGGAAUUAUUGGGCGUAAAGAGGGAGCAGGCGGCACUAAGGGUCUGUGGUGAAAGAUCGAAGCUUAACUUCGGUAAGCCAUGGAAACCGUAGAGCUAGAGUGUGUGAGAGGAUCGUGGAAUUCCAUGUGUAGCGGUGAAAUGCGUAGAUAUAUGGAGGAACACCAGUGGCGAAGGCGACGAUCUGGCGCAUAACUGACGCUCAGUCCCGAAAGCGUGGGGAGCAAAUAGGAUUAGAUACCCUAGUAGUCCACGCCGUAAACGAUGAGUACUAAGUGUUGGGUGUCAAAGCUCAGUGCUGCAGUUAACGCAAUAAGUACUCCGCCUGAGUAGUACGUUCGCAAGAAUGAAACUCAAAGGAAUUGACGGGGGCCCGCACAAGCGGUGGAGCAUGUGGUUUAAUUCGAAGCAACGCGAAGAACCUUACCAAGUCUUGACAUCCUUCUGACCGGUACUUAACCGUACCUUCUCUUCGGAGCAGGAGUGACAGGUGGUGCAUGGUUGUCGUCAGCUCGUGUCGUGAGAUGUUGGGUUAAGUCCCGCAACGAGCGCAACCCUUAUCUUUAGUAGCCAGCGGUCCGGCCGGGCACUCUAGAGAGACUGCCAGGGAUAACCUGGAGGAAGGCGGGGAUGACGUCAAAUCAUCAUGCCCCUUAUGACUUGGGCUACACACGUGCUACAAUGGCGUAAACAAAGGGAAGCAAAGCUGUGAAGCCGAGCAAAUCUCAAAAAUAACGUCUCAGUUCGGACUGUAGUCUGCAACCCGACUACACGAAGCUGGAAUCGCUAGUAAUCGCAGAUCAGAAUGCCGCGGUGAAUACGUUCCCGGCCCUUGCACACACCGCCCGUCA